CGCUGUCACUUAUGGAUGGACCCGCGUCGCAUUAGCUAGUUGGUGAGGUAACGGCUCACCAAGGCAACGAUGCGUAGCCGACCUGAGAGGGUGAUCGGCCACACUGGGACUGAGACACGGCCCAGACUCCUACGGGAGGCAGCAGUAGGGAAUCUUCCGCAAUGGACGAAAGUCUGACGGAGCAACGCCGCGUGAGUGAUGAAGGCUUUCGGGUCGUAAAACUCUGUUGUUAGGGAAGAACAAGUGCUAGUUGAAUAAGCUGGCACCUUGACGGUACCUAACCAGAAAGCCACGGCUAACUACGUGCCAGCAGCCGCGGUAAUACGUAGGUGGCAAGCGUUAUCCGGAAUUAUUGGGCGUAAAGCGCGCGCAGGUGGUUUCUUAAGUCUGAUGUGAAAGCCCACGGCUCAACCGUGGAGGGUCAUUGGAAACUGGGAGACUUGAGUGCAGAAGAGGAAAGUGGAAUUCCAUGUGUAGCGGUGAAAUGCGUAGAGAUAUGGAGGAACAGUACAGUAGAGCUGAUCGUGGCUCAGAAGGUCGUAACAAGGUACCCAGUAGAGUUUGAUCGUGGCUCAGUGAGUCGCACCAAGGGUCCCAUGCCCAUAAGACUGGGAUAACUCCGGGAAACCGGGGCUA
rnacentral:rRNA from 1 species